GGUGAACGCUGGCGGUAGGCCUAACACAUGCAAGUCGAGGGGCAGCAUAGUCAUAGCUUGCUCUUACUGGUGGCGAGUGGCGGACGGGUGAGGAAUACGUCUGCAUCUAGUUUUUCGUGGGGGGUAACGUAGUGGAACGUAGGCUAAUAACGCAGAACACCUGGGGUUGAAAGCAGUGGCUCUUCGGAACUUGCUCGAUUGUGUGAUCCGAUGUCGGCUUAGGUAGUUGGCGGUGUAAAGGCCGACCACGGCGACGAUCCGUAGAUGGUCUGAGAGGAUGAUCAGCCACACGCGAAGUGAGAGAGGGUCCAGACUCCUACGGGAGGCAGCAGGGGGGAAUAUGGGACAAUGGGCGAAAGCCUGAUCCAGCCAUACCGCGUGGGUGAAGAAGGCCUGCGGGUUGUAAAGCCCUUUUGUUGGGAAAGAAAAGCAGCAGGUUAACACCCCGCUGUUCGGACGGGACCCAAAGAAUAAGCACCGGCGAACUUCGG
rnacentral:rRNA from 1 species